rnacentral:rRNA from 1 species
GACGAACGCUGGCGGCGUGCUUAACACAUGCAAGUCGAGCGGUAAGGGCCUUCGGGGUACACGAGCGUCGAAAGGGUGAGUAACACGUGAGUAAUCUGCCCAUCACUUCGGGAUAACUCCGGGAAACCGGGUCUAAUACCGAAUAGGACCAUUUCAGGCAACUGAUGGUGGUGGAAAGUUCUGGCGGGGAUGGAUGAGCUCGCGGCCCAUCAGCUGGUUUGGGGGGUAGGGGCCUACCAAGGCUUCGACGGGUAGCCGGCCUGGGAGGGUGAACGGCCACCCUGCGACUGCGACACGGACCAGACUCCUACGGGGGGCAGCAGUGGGGAAUAUUAUACAGUGGGCGCAAGCCUGAGACAGCGGCGCCGCGUGUGGGAUGACGGCCUGCGAGUUGUAAACCGCUUUCAGCAGGGACGAAGCGCAAGUGACGGUACCUGCAGAAGAAGCACCGGCCAACUACGUG